CUCUAACAGCUGAAGAGAAAUAGGCCCCUCUAGGGAACCUUAUGAAAAUAGCUGAGUUAAAUCCACUACCCCAGCUGUUUACAGACCUGAUCCAGAGAAUCUCCUAGUGGCGUCCCAGUUCUGAUGUCUUCAAAGAGCACAAUGUAUUUUAAAAUAGAUAAAAGCUGCAUAAAAUACGUUUGUGGCUCUUCAAAUUCACUCAGGCAUUGAUUUGUAUUUUUAUAAAUACAAAUAGGACCAGCUAGAUACAUUUGAUAGAUGAGACUUAUUUCACAACAACCUUUUGUCAGAUAUUUUAUUGGCCUUUCAUACAAACAGUAGUGCACGCAUCAGGCAGCUGCAGUUGGAGACAGGAUGGACUUUUGAACCAAAAGGAGCAGAGGACUGAAUUUCAGAGGUGACAUCCACAGGAUGUUCUGCUGAGAGCUCUUCACGGACACGACUUCUCCGGAUGAGACUCAUGGGAUAAAGUAUUCAAGAAAUUGAACAUAGGACUGGUCAUAGGAGGUUUCCUCCCUUUCAGGGAAUAGCUCCACGACUCUGAACUCUGCAGGGAGGAAGUGCAGAGUUUAAAACAGAAGACAUGGCUGUUCUGACUAUUCUUGCUGUGUCCUCAGGGAAAGAAGUACAAGGAGAACAGGACUGCACUGAAAAAAAGAAGAUAGAACAAAGCCAUGAUUUCCUUCAGUUGCCGCACAUCUACAGGGAAGAGUAAUUUGUGGAAACAUGGAGAUGGAGGGGUAAUGGAUUUCUCUGUCAAAAUGAUGAGUGAAAGAAAGACGUAAUUACCACUAAUGCACUUCAAUUACGGCUCGACGGUUUUUUAGCUGUAUGUUCCCAUUUAAUUUUCAUUUAAAACAAAACAGUUGCCACAGACCCAGAGCUAAAAACAGAAAACUCUUUCAGCUACUGGCAAAUUAGCUAGUAAUGUUCUUAUUAUAUAAGCACAGGGAAGAUUGGCUUCUUCCAGGCAAACACAGGAAGUGCUUGUUUGUUUCAGGCACUACUUCUUCUUCCCAGCAAACUCACAGUUGAACUUUAUUUCCAACGUUAUAAUCAGCUAAGCAUGAUAAUACUUUUUUCUGGUUCCUAUUUAGUUUUCAAA
rnacentral:lncRNA from 1 species